rnacentral:rRNA from 1 species
AUGGACGUGGAGAUCCAGCGGCCGCGGGAGGUGGGCAGCUGCAGGGUGGUCAAGGUGGACAAGGAGGCCGCCUGGGAGCUCUUCACCACCCAGGCCGCCAACGAAGGCCGCACUGUCGCCGCUCACUUUGGGGCGUCGUGGUGCGUCACGUCCCUGUCCAUGAACUACAAGUUCGAGGAGCUCGCCCAGACCCACCCAGACAUGCUCUUCCUCUUCGUCGACGUCGAUGAUGUCCCGGGCGUGUCUUCCAAGCUGGGGGUGAAGGCCAUGCCCACCUUCUUCCUCAUCAAGGGCAAGGAGGUGGUGAAGAAGAUCGUCGGUGCCAACCCGGACGAGCUCCACAAGAUGGUGGACGCCUCCGACGACGAUUCGCUCGGCUCUGCUGUGACCACUCUCCCUGACAUAGUCAUCGAAAAAUAG